rnacentral:rRNA from 1 species
UACGGAGGGAGCUAGCGUUAUUCGGAAUUACUGGGCGUAAAGCGCACGUAGGCGGCUUUGUAAGUUAGAGGUGAAAGCCUGGAGCUCAACUCCAGAACUGCCUUUAAGACUGCAUCGCUUGAAUCCAGGAGAGGUGAGUGGAAUUCCGAGUGUAGAGGUGAAAUUCGUAGAUAUUCGGAAGAACACCAGUGGCGAAGGCGGCUCACUGGACUGGUAUUGACGCUCAUGCACGAAAGCGUGGGGAGCAAACAGG